CUGUUAAACCGACCUUUUAAAAAAAACCUUAGGAAAGUAAUAGUCUCCUAUUUGUUUUUAAAAAAUACCUAGAUAUUUCUUUGUUAAGGAGCAAUAUGAAGAUUUUACCACUCUUCAUAGGCCAGCAAGGCUGAAUUGAAGGUGGUAAAAUGCCUAAAAGGUGGCUCAGUGGUUAAGACACUGAGCUUGUGGAUUAGAAAGUUUGGCAGUUUGAAUCCUUAGUAUAGAUCUCUAUGAGCAGUGGGUUCGACUAGAUGACCUCCAAGGUCCCUUCCAACUCUGUUACUGUUUACUGCAUCAGAAUUUGCACACUAUAUUGCACACUAUAUUGCACACUUACCACAAUCAGAUUAUAAUUUACAGCAGAUUUUUUUAAAAAAUGCAGGCACUCUUCAUAGGUUAAAUCUCAGAUGGUAAAAUGCCUAAAAGCAUCAGAACUGGCACACUACAUUGCACACUUAACACAAUCAGAUUGUGAUUUUUUUUGCAGUUUUUUUUUUUUAAAAUAUGCAUAUUUUUCAUAGGCUACCGAGGCUAAUUCGAUGGUAAAACGCCUAAAGCAGCAGAAUUGGCACACUAAUAUAGGUUGGGACCCCUAUCUGACCUACAUUUAUGUUGGAGCAAUAAAAAUAGGUGCUAUUUCAUGAAUUACUACAAUAGAUAUUUUAAGGAUUUGGCACUGGGGGUGCAUGUUUGUUUUGAAACAAGUAUAUAGCAUUUUUAGGAAUAGAAGUGUAUUAAGUGUAAACAAAGGCAGUUGGAUUCAGUAUGUAUUUGCUCCCACAAAAGAUUGACACAAAAAUAC